rnacentral:rRNA from 1 species
CCUACGGGUGGCAGCAGUGAGGAAUAUUGGUCAAUGGGAGGAAUCCUGAACCAGCCAUGCCGCGUGCAGGACGACGGCUCUACGAGUUGUAAACUGCUUUUGUACCGGGGUAAAAUGCUCUACGAGUAGGGUUUUGAAAGUACGGUACGAAUAAGGAUCGGCUAACUCCGUGCCAGCAGCCGCGGUAAUACGGAGGAUCCGAGCGUUAUCCGGAUUUAUUGGGUUUAAAGGGUGCGUAGGUUGUUUUAUAAGUUAGCGGUGAAAUACCGAUGCUCAACAUCGGGGCUGCCGCUGAUACUGUAGGACUAGAGAUCGGAUGCAGCAGGCGGAAUGUGUAGUGUAGCGGUGAAAUGCAUAGAUAUUACACAGAACACCGAUUGCGAAGGCAGCUUGCUAGGCCGGAUCUGACACUGAUGCACGAAAGCGUGGGGAUCGAACAGGAUUAGAUACCCUUGUAGUC